UAUAUUCUGUAAUUGUUAAUAUUAUAAGGAAGAAAUUUAAUAUUUUCUUUAUUUUCUUAGGUAAAAACUUGAAAGAGGUUACGAAGAAAAGGAGUUCUUCAGGCAAAAUUUCAUUAUGAAGAAAACUCAGAAAUAUUCACGUGACCAGACAGCCAUUUGGACAGGCGUGAACCCGCGACCAAGUAGAAGUUGUUCUAAAGAUUAUUGAAGAAGUGGUUCUUUUUUUUACACGCAGAGAUGGCUUCCUUCUUUGAUGCAACGAGCAAUACCCAGACCAACGCCCUGAGUAAUGGUUUCUUUGAGAUAUUUGAAGUCAAAGAAAAUUCCUCACAGAAAUAGAAAAGUGUUGACUUGCUGAACCACAUUUUAUGUCAUUCCAACAAAUGGAUAUAAUCUAAUAAUCUAAAAUUAUUCUAGAAAUUUCAAAUUUUAUCUUGUGAAAAAUGCCUUUGGAUCCAGACUUUUUGAACACAUAAAUAUUUAAAUACAGUAGAGCGUCGAUUAUCCGAAUCAAUUGGGAACUGGAAUUGUUCGGAAGAUCGAUGUUUCGGAUAACCGAUUGUGCACGAAAAAUAUAUUAAU